rnacentral:lncRNA from 1 species
UUUCAGAACCCUGUACACUGUUUCAGAGGACGGCGCGCGAACUGCCCGGUACUUGCCACCAGCUUGUCAGUGUGAGCGCCGGAAGGGAGGUCUCUGGAGCGGCUUCGGAUUUCGAGCCAGUCGCAGUCUUGGUCUGAUCCCCAGAGCGUGGCCAGUCCAGCGACCGCACCAGCAACUCGUGACAUUUUUACUGAGCUCUGGCGGCACUACAUGAACGGACGACACGCCAUCCCGAGAUAUUCGUCGUCAGUUCACCAGCUUACUCCCCAAUGCGUGCCCAGGCGCCAGAGCUGCGGGAAAGCCUCCAGCGCCCUACAGGUGGCUGCAAGGGGAGUGCUGAAUCUGUUCGCUUGAGUGUUGUGAUUCCACCAAGUCUACUCCAACUCGUCACAUCAAUAACCCUGACAACUUUGCCAUAAGGGUUCUUCAAAGACUAUCGAACCAUUCUGGAGCUGGAUCGUGUAGUCUGGAUCAUGUUCAAAAAGAGAUGGCAACACUUCGGGACUGCUUCAGGCUUCUUCGCCUCCAACAGCUUUGCUUGGACUGCUUUCACAGUGACAUUUUCCCCGCAUAAUGUGUUUCCGUGAAGUCCAUAUCUAAAUAUUCAAACAAACCAUGUUCCUUUGUUUGAAUGCAAGUGCUAGUGGCUUUUGAUUACAGUGAUCACAACUAUUUACUUGAGAUAUAACAGGGCAAAGUAUAAAAUUUAUUGGUUUAUAUCAGUGUAUCGAGGCGUAUCAUAUUGUUUUGAUGUGGCCAGAGAUAGUCGUAAAGAUGGUUUCUCUCCAUUGGCUGGGUGAGUGCCCAUGUCACAUUGUCAAUUUUUUUUGUCUCUCUGUCUUAUCUUGCUGCCCAAGACCUCCUGACUCUGUUGAACUUGGGGCAGAUAAAGAUUUAGUAAUAAGCUCUUUUAUUUUAAUUUUUCAAGGGGAGUUGACAAUUUUUCCUGGUAAAGACACUCAAUUUCAGAUAAAAUUGUUUAUACUGAACAAUGGUUCGUUUAUUUAGCAACUGUAGUCCUUACUUAGUUGGAAGCUUCUUGCUUGGUAUUUUUUAAUCAGAUGACAAGACUAUUCAUGGGAAACUUGAAUUUCAAACUGGUAAUGCUACCAUUUUGGAGAUUUGUUUGUGAAAGUUUGCACUGAGAGUUUGAGCAACAGCAGCAACUUCACAGGAAUAGGCAUUGGUUUAUUUGGUUUAUUUCCCAGGAGGGCUACAUUCUGACUCAGGAUUAUUUUGAAAUGUUUGUAAGAUAGCAUUUUUAGAACAAACUUUGUCAGUUACUUAUGGCAUCACAAGGGGAGCAGGAAGUUUGGGUGGAGAGUGCAAGUGAAAUGUAUACUACUAGUGUCCUAGUUUCUGUACAUCACUCUGCAUUAUGUUUGUUCCUUCUUUUACUUUAAAAGCUAUCUUUAGAAUGUUUGGUUUAGUUUGUUCAUUCACCCACCGUCACCACUCGAAGACUGGGAUCAUUAUGCCUUUGACCGCCCUGAAUUGGCCACCUCCAAAUAUGUAGCAGAUCCUCCAAGGUAAAGUGUCUGUACAGCGUCAAUCAGGUUGUGGGUUGAAUCUGAUUGUUCUGUAUUGGAGAGUACAUUCCCCUGUUUCUCUUUUUUCUGCUACCUAUUGUUUAUGUCUGUUAGUUGUCAUGACUUUGUGGAUAGUGUUGCUUGAUAUCCAAUCUUCUUUGGGGUACGUUCUUCCGUUCAGAGAACUUGUUGAUUGGUAUAUUUUCUCAGCAUUUUGCCACGGACAUGCCUGUGGGGAGAGAUAUUGCUUUACAUUUUAUCCUAACUUGGUUCAACUUCAGUUUCCUUUUUUUCAAUGCAUAUCUGUCUUAUGUCCCUGUAUCGCCAGCCACCACAUCUUUUUAUUUUCUGUUGCUUAUUGUUGGGCCUGUGCAUUUAUUUUCAUCCAGUUGCUAAUCCCGCGAUGUGCCUUUUGACAAAUCUGAAGCUCAUUUGUACCGCUUUUGCUUUGAAUUUUUGUUUGCAAUUGGGAACUGACAAAUUCAUUUAUUCCUUUUCAUUAGGUGGAGAUGGAGAAUUCCAAACCUGUUUCAGCAAAUGGAUUUACUUACACCGUCUCCUCCAUCAUCUUGUGACUAUAUUGCAACAUUUUUAUCCUUUAUUCUUUUAUCAGCUUCUUACAAGAUGGUUCUGUCAAUGCAAUGUGAAUUACAAUUACACCUCUGAUGGUGUGGAGAAAAAGAACAAGGAAAGCAUUCAGUUUGCUAUUCUGGUCGCACCCAAAGAAAUAUCAACGGUAAGAAGUAGAAGCUUCACAACAUCAAGGGAACAACUCAACGUCCCAUUAGAACUUCCCUUGUUCGAAGACUGGAGCCAUAUGCUCGAGCAGUUUCUUGCCUGUGAGAUUACUUUCUUCUGCAUUAUUUGGUUUAACCUGAGUUAAAUUAAUUGAAGUAGUGCUCAAAUAUUUUCUCCCAGUUUAUCUCAUUUCGUAUUGAAACAUUUUAUUCAUUAAAUUAAAUUUUCAAGCAAACACUUCGGCUGGCCUUGUUUUGAUUCUGCAAAAUCUAAUCAUAUGCUCAUUGUAUUUUAUAAGGCACGUUGGAAUGGAUUCAAUUGCUAAGAGCAAAAGGAAUUGCACCUUUGGGCAUUUAUUUCCCUGUCACUCAUGUCUGGCUCAAGGGCUGAUUUUAUCUUGCUUAUAGUUUCUUACUGUUUCAAUCAGCAAUGCUUUUAUUGCUUUAAUGAGCCUUAGAAGGCCCUUGGCAGUUUUUAUUGAAUGGUGUGGUAUGUGUGUUUGUGUGUAUACAUCUUUACACAUAUACAUCUAUACUGGGCUGCCCUAUUUUCAUUAUGCAAAUCUAUUGUUACUAUUUUAUUUACCUAGGUUCUUUUGGACUGUGUUAAAUUUGAAUGUUAAUGAUGGUCACAUAUAUUGGAUGAAUUUGAUGCUCAAUUUUAUUUUCUUGGAGCGACAAUGAUGUGGCCUUGGGUCCCUUCCUUUUUAUGGUAUGUAUUUUGAUGAAAGUGCAUUUUGUAUGUGGUUUUCAAUUUGUGAUUUUCAUUAAUGAAAGAAUGGACUCCAGUUAGUUGAUGUUACUGAAUUUUAGAAACAAUUCUAGACCCAAUACAACUACUGUAAUAAAUUUUGGUUCUCGUAAUAGAGCAACUGGAGUUUCUGGAAAAUAGGUUCUUCCACUAAAAGAGUAGAUGGUACACACACAAUCUAAUUUUCUUGCUUUGGGGAAUGAGUUAGUCAGACGUUAUUAAUACUUUUCCCUGCUUGUAAUUUCUAAUGAAUUUCUAUGAGUGGAAUGUUCAGUAUCUGUUGAUUGCCAAUUUCUUUUUCUUAUCUCCUUUCAAAACAAGCUUCAGAAUGCUCAUUUUGGUUUGUUCUCACAAAUGACCUUGGAUACAUUUAGUCAUGACUCACUCUGAACCUGUAUUGAUUUAUCUUCCAGUUCCUUAUGGUUUCAACUAGUAGAUGUUGCAUUGUUUGAAUGUUACAGCUCAUUGCAAGUGUAAAUUUCAAUGAUAUGGUAUUAUCACAUGAAAAUGCAUGGUGUGUAUGUACAUAUUAAUGAAUGAAAAUCUUAGGCAAAAACUAUGGGCUGCCCUGUUUCUUAAGCCCUUUAGAAUUCCUAUCCUAUAAAUUAUGUAUUCAGGAGCGUUAACUUAAUAUUUUAAUUAUGGUUGGAUCACUUAUGGAAAUGCCAUGGUUCUUUCUACAAAUGUGGAUUUUUUAUUGCUUUGCAUUCAAUCAAAAAGUGAAUGUUUUGCCAGCAAUUUUUCAGCAUUAUUACCUCAGGAAAUGCAUUUUAAGUCUGGUCUUGCUGCAAGUCUCAAGCUAUUUUUCAGAUGGAAUGUUUCGACUUGUAAUGGUUGAUUUGAUUCUAUGUGGGAUGGCCAGUACAUCUUGACUAUUCCUAUGUAUUGAAAUAAGUCAUUUCCAUUUCUGAGAAGUUAGAAUGUUUAAGCAACAAAGGCUGUUUCCCAGUUGGUUCGUUUGCAUUGAUGAGGCCACACUGUUUGUUUUAACUAGUGAAUUGCAUGGCUUUAUGGAUUUUAUCAGUGACUAACUUCUCGAGUAAGUUUUGUUUCUAGAGAUAUUAAAACUAAAGCAGGUUUAUUGUAAAUGUGUGUCCUUGGUCCAUAAAUAGAAUGUUCAAAAAAAGGAAAUUUUGACAAGGAAAAUAAGCAAAGAGGUUUUAAAUGUGACUGAAGUGGAUGUUUUCGUUGUUGUUUUCCCAUUCUUUUCAUAUGUAACUGACCUGAAAUUCUUAUACCUGUUAAAGUAAUUGAGACUAGCAAAAUCUAGUUCCCCACACUUUGAAUUCCGCACGUUGGAGUCAAUUUCUGAGUUCCUUGAUAAUUAUUGGCAUUUUCUGUGUGUUCAGGUACCUCACUUCUUUUUGUAUCCUCCAUUUCUCUUAAGCGUUCAGUGAACAAUUUUCCCAACAUUGAUUUAUUAGUGGCUGUGA